rnacentral:rRNA from 1 species
UACGAAGGGAGCUAGCGUUGUUCGGAAUCACUGGGCGUAAAGCGCACGUAGGCGGACUUGCAAGUCGGGGGUGAAAUCCCGGGGCUCAACCUCGGAACUCCUUCGAUACUGUAAGUCUCGAGUCCGGAAGAGGUGGGUGGAAUUCCUAGUGUAGAGGUGAAAUUCGUAGAUAUUAGGAAGAACACCAGUGGCGAAGGCGGCCCACUGGUCCGGAACUGACGCUGAGGUGCGAAAGCGUGGGGAGCAAACAGG